GACGAACGCUGGCGGCGUGCUUAACACAUGCAAGUCGAACGGAAAGGCCCUGCUUUUGUGGGGUGCUCGAGUGGCGAACGGGUGAGUAACACGUGAGUAACCUGCCCUUGACUUUGGGAUAACUUCAGGAAACUGGGGCUAAUACCGGAUAGGAGCUCCUGCUUCAUGGUGGUGGUUGGAAAGUUUCGGCGGUUGGGGAUGGACUCGCGGCUUAUCAGCUUGUUGGUGGGGUAGUGGCUUACCAAGGCUUUGACGGGUAGCCGGCCUGUGAGGGGUACCGGCAACAUUGGGACUGAGAUACGGCGCAGACUCCAACGGGAGGCAGCAGUGGGGAAUAUUGCACAAUGGGCGGAAGCCUGAUGCAGAAACGCCGCGUGCGGGAUGACGGCCUACGGGUUGUAAAACGAUUUCGCCUGUGACGAAGCGUGAGUGACGGUAAUGGGUAAAGAAGCACCGGCUAACUACGUG
rnacentral:rRNA from 1 species